CACGUAGGGAUCCAAGCGUUGUCCGGAAUUACUGGGCGUAAAGAGCUCGUAGGUGGUUUGUCGCGUUGUUCGUGAAAACCGGGGGCUUAACCCUCGGCGUGCGGGCGAUACGGGCAGACUUGAGUACUGCAGGGGAGACUGGAAUUCCUGGUGUAGCGGUGGAAUGCGCAGAUAUCAGGAGGAACACCGGUGGCGAAGGCGGGUCUCUGGGCAGUAACUGACGCUGAGGAGCGAAAGCGUGGGGAGCGAACAGG
rnacentral:rRNA from 1 species